UGGGUUUUGUGGUCUCCUAACUUGCGAUGAUAAACAGCUGAGGCAUCUGUUGACAUCAGCAGGAUCUGGAAGGAUUUGUUAUCUGUUAAGUUUCCUGCAGAUUCACUGAGGCUAAAAAGAAAUACAUGCAUCUGAAUGAGUAGAGACUUAUCAAAGAAUAAAUAUGUUUGGGAAGAAAUCAAAAUAUCUUCACACAACUGCUACAGGUCCUUGUUGUCUGGAGACAGGAGUGGUACCCUCAGGCUGAAAGACUGCCUGGACUUCAACUUGAGUAUAAGAGAGAAGUGUGCCAACCCUGUAGAUUCACAGGCUCAGCUGGAUUUCUUUACACGUACUAUGAAAAGAAACAUCGUUUUUUAGAAAUCAUGAAUUUUCUCUGAAAUAGACUCAAAGACUCAUAGAAUCAUCCAGAUUGGAGAAGACCUCUAAGAUCAUCUAGACCAACCAUCAACCUAUCCCCACCAUGCCCAAUCCCAGCAAGGUCUCAGGGAGGAAGUCUCUGUAAAUCUUUUUAAUAAACCAUUUUUCCCUAGUUUGGCCA
rnacentral:lncRNA from 1 species